rnacentral:rRNA from 1 species
CGUGUCUCAGUAUAAGUCUCUAUACGGCGAAACUGCGAAUGGCUCAUUAAAACAGUUAUAGUUUAUUUGAUGGUCACUCGUUAUUUGGAUAACUGUGGUAAUUCUAGAGCUAAUACAUGCAUAAAGACCCGAUCUUCUGGGAAGGGUUGUAUUUAUUAGAUACAGAACCAAUCCGCUUGCGGUUUUUGGAUGAUUCAUAAUAAAUGAACGGAGCGCAUGGCUUGUGCCGGCGCUAUUUCAUUCAAGUUUCUGACCUAUCAUGCUUCCGACGGUAGGGUAUUGGCCUACCGUGGCUUUGACGGGUAACGGAGAAUUAGGGUUCGAUUCCGGAGAGGGAGCCCGAGAAACGGCUACCACAUCUAAGGAAGGCAGCAGGCGCGCAAAUUACCCAAUCCUGAUACAGGGAGGUAGUGACAAGAAAUAACAAUGAAAGUGGCAUACGCCAUUUUUCUAUUGGAAUGAGUAGAAUUUAGAUCUCUCUUCGACUAACAAUUGGAGGGCAAGUCUGGUGCCAGCAGCCGCGGUAAUUCCAGCUCCAAUAGCGUAUAUUAAAGUUGUUGCGGUUAAAAAGCUCGUAGUUGGAUUUCUGUUGAGGAAGUCCGGUCCGCACUUUGUGCGUGAUCUGGUUCUGCCUCGGCAUCCUCGCGGGGAACAUGCUGCGCUUGAUUGCGUGGUGUGGUAUUCGCGACUUUUACUUUGAGGAAAUUAGAGUGUUCACGGCAGACAAUUGUCUUGAAUACGUUAGCAUGGAAUAAUAAUAUAGGACCUUGGUUCUAUUUUGUUGGUUUCUAGAACUAAGGUAAUGAUUAAUAGGGAUAAUUGGGGGCAUUUGUAUUAACACGUCAGAGGUGAAAUUCUUGGAUUGUGUUACGACAAACUACUG